rnacentral:rRNA from 1 species
GCCAACUGCCAUAUCACGUUUGAAUGCACCGGUUCUCGUCCGAUCACCGAAGUUAAGCAACGUUAAGCCAGGUUAGUACUUAGAUGGGUGACCCCUUGGGAAAUCUAGGUGGUGUAAGCA